AGACUUGUCAGUGCUGCUGAUCACAGUGACACCAGCACAAAUGUCCAUCAUGUCAACUGUUAAAUUGUUUUGAGGAGCAGCAAAGCAGGUUUACGUUAGAGAAAGUCUUCAUCAGAUAAAGAUGUGUUUGUGCAGCUUCUGUGAAAGCCAGAAGGCCAGGGUUCAUUCCAAGCAUGUAGAGGGGAGGUGUAAGAAGAAUGAAACAGGACAAACAGUCACAUGAAGAAACCAAAGAGCUAUCAGCUGACCGUCCAAAAACAUCCAGAGCUGGAAGCAUCAACAUCAGAGCCUCAUCCGGAUCCAGAUCCAGUCCAGCUGAAUCAUGAAGAAGCUGCUGAGCGUCUUUGUCCUGCUGAGCGUCCCCAUGACGCUGCUGCUUCCGGCAGAGGGAAGACAGAAGCGUGAUGUCCCUAACUGGGCAAUGAGCUCCUCUGACUUCUUUGGCUGGGUGGAGGAACUGAGGAAACACGCUGGCUACGACCAAAUCCAGGAUCUGGCCAGAACCUUCUGGGCUCAUUUUCCCUCUGCAGACCGACUCGGGUAUAGAGCCCAUGAACCGGAUGAGUAGAAGCACAACAGGAAGUUUGCUUGCACAAGGAGGAUUUGUUUUUCUUUGUAAUAACAACAAUAAUAAUAAUAAUAGCAAGGUCUAGCCCUUACUAUGUAAAAUGUCCUGAGAUGACAUCUGCUGUGAUUUGGUGGUAUACAAAUAUUGAAUUGAAUUGAAUUGAAUUUGAGUUUGUGAUGGAAACAUGGUGAUGAUUGAGGACAGGGACAAGAAGAAGAGCAGACUAAACCUUCACCAAAUGAUCAGCUGAAGCCUCGUGUUUGACAUGUUUGAAAUGUUAUGGCUUCUUUUGAAAUCAUUUCAAUGCAGAAGACUGUGGUGUUCUGAGGUUUUACAUUAGAGAUUUUUAACUGGACAUUAGCAUUAAGUUUGAAAGCAACAAAAAAUCUUUUACCAACAGUAACAUUACAGAUGAAUAUUAAAGCAGGUGAAUUUAACUAUAUAGCAGCAAGUUCACCUGUAAAUUAUUGUAGAU